rnacentral:rRNA from 1 species
UACGUAGGGGGCUAGCGUUGUCCGGAAUAAUUGGGAGUAAAGAGUGUGUAGGCGGCUAGGUAAGUGGGUUGUGAAAGUCCAGGGCUCAACCCUGGAAUGCCAGUGGAAACUGUCGAGCUAGAGUCCGGAAGAGGCGAGUGGAAUUCCUGGUGUAGCGGUGAAAUGCGCAGAUAUCAGGAGGAACACCAAUGGCGAAGGCAGCUCGCUGGGACGGUACUGACGCUGAGACGCGAAAGCGUGGGGAGCAAACAGG